UUUGUUUCGAGCGAUGGUAAAUGGUGUUAUAUUCACGUGUUCUUUGCAAGUAUAAGAAAUAGAAUUGAUGUGUGUGUAGAUCUCGUAUCUUGUGAUUGAUGAAGUCACUGUUAGUUCUGAGAGUUUUUGGCAGAUUGCUUGGGAUUUUCCAUGGAGACCUCAUGCCAUCGGCAAAGAGAGACCAUGUCAUUUUUUUCUUUUCUUAUCUGAAUGCUUUUUUAUUCCUUGCUCAAAGUUGGUAUUCAUUCUUCUUUAAAUAGUUGGUAUAAUUCUCAAGUGAAACCAUCUGGGCCUGGAUAUUUUUUUUUUUAGGAGUUUUUGCAUUAUGAAUUCAAUUUUCUUAAUAGCUGCAGAGUUAUGCAAAUUAUCUAUUUGAUAGUGCAUGAGUUGUGGCAGUUUUUUGUGUUUUUAGAUGAAAGGAACCAACUUAUUUUUUUUUUUUGUUUUUGUUUGCUUGUUUGUUUGUUUUGGCUUUUUAGGGCUGCACUCGGGGCACAUGGAAAUUCCCAGGCUAGGGGUCAAAAUUAGAGCUGCAGCCGCAGGCCUAUGCCACAGCCACAGCAAUGCCAGAUCCGAGCUGUGUCUGUGACCUGCACUGUAGCUCACGGCAAUGCCAGAUUCUUAACCCACAGAAUGAGGCCAGGGAUCAGACCUGCAUCCUCAUGGCUACUAGUCAGAUUUGUUUCCACUGAGCCAGGAGGGAAACUCCAGGAACCAGCUUCUUAGUUAUCCAGUUCAUGGGUGUAUAGUCAUUCCUCAUAGUCCCUUAUUAUCCUUUUGAUUCCUCUGUUUCAUUCCUGACACAGUUUGUUUUUUGUUUGUCUCCUGGAAUUUUAUCAGUUUUAUCAGUUUUUUCAAAGAACCAACUCUUGGUGGCAUUGGCUUUCCAUAUGGUUUUUCUUUUCAAUUUUCAUUGAUUUUCUGGUCUGUGGCGUCUCCUUCCCUCUGCUUUGGCUCUGGGUUUAUUUUGCUCUUCUUUUUUUAGGUUCUUGAGUUGGGAUCUUAGAUUAUUGAUGUGAGACUUUUCCUUCUCUCUAAUAUAUGCACUUGGCGCAUACAUUUCCCUCUCAGUGAGAGCUGUGCCCCAGACAUGUUGAUAUGUUGUGCUUUCAUUUUCCUUCGGUUCUGUGUAACUUUGAUUUCUCUUGUGACUUCCUCCUUGACCCAUGAGAUAUUUACAGAUACAUUGCUUAGUUUACAAGUCCUGACUCCAUUUGGUUGGAGAAUACCUUCUGUAUGAUUUCAAUUUUUUUUUUUUUUUUUUUUUUUUUGCUUUUUUAGGGCCACACUCGCAGCAUAGUAAGUUCCCAGGCUAGGGGUCAAAUCGGAGCCACAGCUGCUGGCCUACAGCACAGCCACAGCAACUCGGGAUCUGAGCCAUGUCUGUGACCUACACCACAGCUCACGGCAAUGCUGGAUUCCUGACCCACUGAGCUGCAACGGGAACUCUCUGAUGCAACAUUAUUAACUUAUUUAUCUCAUAACUGGAAGUUUGUACCUUUUAACCACCCUCACCCAUUUUGCUCACCCCUCUCCUACCUCUUGCACCACAGUCUGUUCUCUGCAUCUAUGACUUUGGCUUUUUCAGAUUCCACAUAUAAGAUCAUACAGUGUUUGUCUGUCUUGGCCUGACUUGUGUCCCUUGGCAUAAUCCAGGUCCAUCCAUGUUGUCACAAGUGGCACUUUCCUUCUUUUUUAUGGCUAAAUAUAUUACAGUGUAUGUCUCGUAUAGUCCAUUGCGUGUAUUUACCGCAUUUUGUUUAUCCAUUUGCCAACCCCCCACCCCCUCCCCACCCCCUGUGCCUGUGCCUAGGUUGUUUCCAUGUCUUGGCUGUUGUGAGUGAUGUGCUGUGAACGUAGGGGUGCAGACAGCUUUUUGAGAUAGUCGUUUCAUUUCCUUGAGAAAUGCACCCGGAAGUGGAAUUGUGGGUCCUUUGGUAGUUCUCUUUUUACUUUUUUGAGGACGCUCCAUGCUGUUUUCCAUGGUGUCUGUGCCAGUUUAUAUUCCCGCCCAUAGUGCACUGGGGUUCCCUUUUCUCCACAUCUUUGCCAGCAUUUGUUAUCUUUUGUCUCUUUGGUAACGGCCAUUCUAACAGUCUUAGAGUAUAAUAGCUUUGAUUUUGAUUCGGGUUUUGAUUUGCACUUCCCUGAUAAUUAGUGCACCCUGUUUUUUGAUUAGGUAUGACAUUUUGUGAUGCUAUUCUGAUUUUUAUAUCUUUUUUUUUUGUCUGUUUUUCAGAAGUUUAUCAGGGGCGUUCCCGUGGUGGCUCAGUGUGUUACGAACCUGACUAGCAUCGAUGAGGUUGUGGGUUCGAUACCUGGCCUCGCUCAGUGGGUUAAGGAUCCCGCAUUGCCACAAGCUGUGGUGUAGGUUGCAGAUAUGGCUCAGAUCCUGCAUUGCUGUGGCUGUGGUGUAGCCCUGCAGCUGCAGCUCUGAUUAGAUCCCCUAGCCUGGGAACUUCCACAUGCCACAGGUGAGGCACUAAAAAAGCAAAAAAAAACAAAAACAAAAAAAAGUUUAUCAGGAGUUCCUGUUGUGGCUCAUCAGAGACAAUCUGACUAGCAUCUAUGA
rnacentral:lncRNA from 1 species